rnacentral:rRNA from 1 species
UACGAAGGGGGCUAGCGUUGCUCGGAAUUACUGGGCGUAAAGCGCACGUAGGUGGCUUUUUAAGUCGGGGGUGAAAUCCUGGGGCUCAACCUCAGAAUUGCCUCCGAUACUGGCAGUCUCGAGUGCGGGAGAGGUGAGUGGAAUUCCCAGUGUAGAGUGAAAUUCGUAGAUAUUGGGAAGAACACCAGUGGCGAAGGCGGCUCACUGGCCCGUAACUGACGCUGAGGUGCGAAAGCGUGGGGAGCAAACAGG